UAAUUCAUAUAACGUUAAAUGUACAAAGUGGAUUAAAACAGAGAGUGGUUUUUUCCAAUCUGAUGUCUAUAAAAUGAAGGAGAAUUAACAUUGUAUUCUUGUAUAAGGACAGAAAUGAAGAUUAUAGAUUAGGCUUAAAAUGAGCAGUUGCUGGCUUACGAAUAAUAAUGAGACUAAAUUGUCGUUUAGUUAGAUGUCUUCGGUAUAUCAAGAGGGAUUACAGGGUGGAAAAGUCAAUUAUCAUUAACAGAUGUUGAGAUUAAGCAUUCAAAGAAUCUUCAAUGUGAGCCCUAAUAGAAUGGUGUAUCUUUUGCUUAGGACAUAUCAACCCUUAAAGACUGGUCCAGUUUUCUUUUAUAUAUAUAUUAUUUAUUAUUAAACACGUAUGUAUAUUCAUUUUUAAACACGAAUAUUUUACUCAUGUUAUGAAGAGUAAAGUAUGUUUCCUUAUCCUUAAUUAAUAAUCUCAUGGGACGGACUACAUUAUAUUGCUAGAGAGGGAAGGUGCAAUGAAAUUUCUAUCAUUUGUUUAAUUUAAAGAUUUCAAGAUCAAUUGUGUAAUGUGUUAUACAUUGGACAUGUGUUGUUUUAGAACAUUUUAAUAAAUGAAGAUUGCAUCAUGUUAAUUAUCGUAUUAUAAUAUGGUAAUUGAUAUCUUAUUAGUACUUUGCGAUACGAGUGCGAGAAAGCGAACUUUAUAGGCAGGCGGUGAAGUUACUCGCACACGAGUAACAUAACGGCACGAGCCGAAGGCGAGUGCGGCAAGUGUGAAAAACUUCACGAUCUGCAUGUAAUGUUCGCUUUAUUGCACCAGUGUCGCAUAAUAUUUUCUGUAAUGAAUGCAUGAGAAGUGCUACUUUUCGUGACUCCAAAGUGUGGCGUAAGUGGCGCUUUAUAACUAAGGACGCGAUAAAAAUGCUGCGCAUGCUCAAAUCGGCCCAAUUUCGGCCCGCACUAGUGCGAUAAAAUGAACUUUGUUCUCGCGCGUUGUCAUGACAUGCAUUCACUUUGAAGGCCUUCCUUGCUUUCCUUAUGGCUGCCUCCUCCAAUGAGAUGUGCCAGUCACUUUGGAGGCACAAAAAGUAGCACUUUUCAUGCAUGCGUUACAGAAAAUAUUAUGCGAUACUGGUGCAAUAGAGCGAACAAUAUACGCGGGUCGUGAAGUUUGUCACACUCCAUGCAAUAAUUAACCAAAAAUUGAAAGAGUAGUGCGACCCGAAAAUUUCGAUAUGAAUUGAAAACAUGUUAAAAAUUUUAGGUUGUAUUACUUUUAUACAUUCGGGUUAAUUACUGCGAGAAUGCUAUUAUUCCGUUAAGUGUCGAGUGAAAAAAAUUUUUUUUUUACCAAAAGUACUUUUAAUACAAAUUUUAUUGAAUUGAUAUGAGAAUUACAUCUAAAGACUUCUGAAUUAUUGUCAUAGAAAUCAUUUUUUUUUCUAAAGUGUGCAUAUAUGUGUCAGUGACAGUCAAACGUAGUUUUUUUGGUCCGCUGGUGACGAAUCCAAAAUCGAAAUUUCAAAAUUCAAAAUGGCGGAUACAAUUUGGCAGGUUCGAGUAAUUAACGGUAUUCCAUUACCUCCGUUACCUACUGUUACCUCCGUUAUUAGCUGGUAGAAUAUGAUCACGCCCUCAUAGUGCGGCACGGGGAGGCUGCGGUAGGAUUUAACAUUCCAUUUUUUACUUUUUUGUUUUUUAAUUUUAAAAUCAGGAAAAACCGCAUAAAUUAAAAACAAAAAGAUUACAAACAAAAAAUUUUUUUAAAAUAGAGUUUGAAAUCGUACCGCAUUCUCCUUGUGGCUCACCCUGGGGUCGUAAUUACAUUUCAACAGCUAAUAACGGUUGGAACAGUAGCCAUAAUGGAAUACUGUUACUCACUCGGAGUCGACAUAUUGGAUCCGCCAUUUUGAUUUUCUCAAUUUCAGGUUCAGAUCCGUAAUCAGCAAUGCAAGAAACAUGAGUAUAUCAAGUUUGAUGCAAAUCCGUUAAAAAGUGAUAGACAUAUUCAUGGUGCUCAUACAGGGUUGUCCUCAAAAAAAAAAAAAAAAAAAAA